CAGCAAAGUCGUCAAAUUGAAAUGGCGAACACUUUGGAUAAAGGUUGGCAAUAAUAGUUCUGCAAUUUUCCGUCCCUCUCAAUUUUUUUCUGUUUGAAGAUGGCCUCGAACAAAUUGCUACAUU